CUUCAUCAGAGUUGCCUGUUUGCUGCCUGUCCUAUGGAAUUUGAAUUUGUGCAGCCCCACAGUGCUGCCAUGAGAAAGGACAGAACAGAUGGACAACACCCUUACUAGCCCAGGGCUGCCCAAGACAGCCAUGGCGUCUGCUUAUCCUUGCACUGUGCUACCUCCACCUCCUCCUAACCAAGGGCCUCCUUCUGAGUUCAGGACUUUAUCACCUCAUGCCCAGACUAUUGUGAUGGUCUCCUAUCAUCCUGGAGAAUGAGCUAGCUGUUGUAAAACAGCUUCCAGAUCUCAAAGUAACACACAUGUGACACAAGAUUCAAAACACAAUGAUGAAGAUAUUGGUAAAUUCCAUGUAUCUUCUGCUCUGCACCUUAAACCCCACUCCCAGGUCCCAGAGCCAACCAGUGUUACCAAAAGACAAUGCUACUGUGGACAUUGUUGUAAAUAUAUGUUUAUCAACACAAGAGGGGGGCGUAAACCCAGUGGUGGAUCUGCUGGGUCAUAGGAUUUGAGCCUCUUUAACUUUCCUAUGUAUUACCUAAUUGCUCUUAGAAGAGAUUGUCCCAAUUUAUGUGCUCAUGAGCAGUGUAGAAGAGUUCCUGUGGCUUCACAUCCCUGCCAAAAUUUAGCAUCAGGGCACAUUAAUUUUUUCCCAAUAUGAUGAAUUUGAACAGUAUUUCAUUAUGGUUUUCAUUUGUAUUUCCCUGGUUAUGAAUGAGAAUGAGCCUCUUUGUAAAUGUGUAAAGGCCAUUUGUAUUUUUCUUUUAUGUGAACUGCCUAUUUGUGGUCUUAGCUUGUCUUUUUCUAUUGGGUUACUGUCGUUUUAUUUUUAAU